AUCGAACGCUGGCGGCAGGCUUAACACAUGCAAGUCGAGCGAGCGGCGGACGGGUGAGUAAUGUCUGGGAAACUGCGUGAUGGAGGGGGAUAACUACUGGAAACGGUAGCUAAUACUGCAUACCAUCAGAUGUGUCCAGAUUGGAUUAGCUAGUAGGUGGGGUAAUGGCUCACCUAGGCGACGAUGCCUAGCUGGUCUGAGAGGAUGACCAGCCACACUGGAACUGAGACACGGUCCAGACGCCUACGGGAGGCAGCAGUGGGGAAUAUUGCACAAUGGACGCAAGCCUGAUGCAGCCAUGCCGCGUGAGUGAAGAAGGCCUUCGGGUUGUAAAGCACUUUCGGCGAGGAGGCGUUACUCACAGAAGAAGCAACGGCUAACUCCGUGCCAGCAGCCGCGGUAAUUC
rnacentral:rRNA from 1 species